UAUAAAACCACAUUCUUACACUUUACAUGUGUAGAUUAAAUCUAAAGAGCCACAAUAGGAAGACCAUUUUUGCUGAUUUAUCAGACAUUAAAUUGUUUCUUCUAAAAAGAAAGAUUCUUAGAUAAUAGUUUUCUGUGUUCUCAUUUAUUAAAUUUUUUGUACUCUUCUUUUUUUGAAAAGGAGAUUCAAAUACAAAAAACACAGGCCGCAGCGAAGCAGAAUGUCAUCCAACAGAGGAGCAUUUCUAUGAAGAAGUGACAGAGCAUAAGAAGACACUGGUGAUUCCUACCUAUGCCAACACUCCUACAAAUGAGCCAGCCCUGCUGCCGUACUCUAUUGUCAGCUUUCAAAGGACUUAAGAGAAUAACGCUGACACAGAAGUUCUGCCCCUUUAACCCACCUCUACUUUGUGCAGCUGAAGCUCAAUCUUCCCAACUGAUCAGCCAUCCAGAUCUACAGACCAACCCCUUUACUCAGCAGUUACGAAGACAAAUGCAAAAUGAAAAAAAAAAAUAUAUAUAUAUAUAU